GCCCCCGUGGCGCAAUUGGUUAGCGCGUUCGGCUGUUAACCGAAAGGUUGGUGGUUCAAAUCCACCCGGGGGCG
rfam:Asian citrus Psyllid, Diaphorina citri - Florida Strain, whole genome shotgun sequence.